UAUCAGAGUGAGAUUAAGCCAUGCGAGUCAACGUAGCAAUACGUGGCACACGGCUCAGUAACACUUAGUCAACAUAACCAAAGGACGUGGAUAAUCUCGGGAAACUGAGGCUAAACCGCGAUAGACCAAGAUACCUGGAAUGGUUUUUGAUCAAAAUCUAUAUGGCCUCUGGAUUGGACUGCGUCCGAUCAGGCUGUUGGUGAGGUAAUGGCCCACCAAACCUAUAACCGGUACGGGCUCUGAGAGGAGGAGCCCGGAGAUGGGUACUGAGACAAGGACCCAGGCCCUAUGGGGCGCAGCAGGCGCGAAACCUCUGCAAUAGGCGAAAGCCUGACAGGGUUACUCUGAGUGACUUUCGCUAAGAAAGUCUUUUGGCAUCUGUAAAAAUGGUGUAGAAUAAGGGGUGGGCAAGUCU
rnacentral:rRNA from 1 species